CUUCAUGACUGCUGUUAUGCAGAAAUGUAAACACUUUGCAACGUUCGCAGAAAACAAUGACACCGCAGGGAGAGGAAGGAGUGCACGUGGGUGUGUGUCUGUGAGGUGUGUGAGUGUGUGUGUGUGUGUGUGUGUGUGUGUGUGUGUGUGUGUGCAGCAACAGCACCACAGGGAGCGGAAGGAGAAGGACGGAGGUGAAAUGAGAGGGAGAGAGAGCUCGGCGAAAAAUGGGAGAUGAGAGAUUUGUAUCGUGGACGGAAGCUGCACUUAAGCUAAAGAUGACAAAGCACUUCCUGCUACUCCCGGUCGUUUCUGAAGAACCCCAUGAUGUUCUAGAAGGACGGAGUCCCCGCCUCCCGAACCCCACCAAACCAGCCCCUCCUUCCUGCACAGAAGAACUCCACCAGCCCGUUUCCACGGCAACGGACUCCGAUCUUUGCCGCGAUGCAAACUUUUUGACGUUGCUCUGAAACAACGAGACUACUGGGAGGACUUCUCCUUUCUUCUUCUUCUCCUUUUUCUUUUCAGACAAACGUCUCUCGUCCCCCGUUCAUCUCGUUCGACUUUUGGACCAAUCGCGACACUGCUUCAGACCCUUGAAGAGGAGAACUAAAUAUUCUUAAAGGGAAUAAAAAAAAGAAAAUUAUUUAAAGACCCCCCCCCCCCCCUAACCCCACCCCCUUCUGGAUUUGACAGCAGCCCAUUGACCGCCUGUCAACACCCUUCUGAUUGGACGAUAAUCGGCUAAUGGGAGGAGCCCAUGGCGGGACUUUAGAAAAAGGGUUUAAAAAAAGAACUUGGGAUUCUAUUUGUGUCUCAAGUUUCAUUCGCUUUGUUUUCCGUACAGGAAAAGGAUGCAUGGGACAGUCGCGUUACGUACACGCCCUCUUAUCGCCUCUUCUUUUCUACCAAUCAGCUCCUCCUAUAUCUCCUGCUUCUCUGUGUAUCUACUUUUCCCUCUGAAUAUAUUGGAUGCAGCUUUUCAAUGUAUGAAGUGUUUUCUAUCCCUGUUAAUAAUCUGUGAAACCCGUUUCUCAAAUGAUGCAAAAGUCAGGAAAAAAACAAAAAAAAAACUUUUUUAUUACAACGGAGUGACUUUUAGACACGAGAAACGCUUGGAAAA